rnacentral:rRNA from 1 species
GUGGAUUAGAUACCCUGGUAGUCCACGCCGUAAACGAUGCUAACUCGUUUUUGGGUUUUCGGAUUCAGAGACUAAGCGAAAGUGAUAAGUUAGCCACCUGGGGAGUACGAACGCAAGUUUGAAACUCAAAGGAAUUGACGGGGGCCCGCACAAGCGGUGGAUUAUGUGGUUUAAUUCGAUGAUACGCGAGGAACCUUACCAAGGCUUAAAUGGGAAUUGAUCGGUUUAGAAAUAGACCUUCCUUCGGGCAAUUUUCAAGGUGCUGCACGGUCGUCGUCAGCU